UGUAUGGGAUUCAGGAGCGGCCUCAAAACAAGAGCCGCGUUUACACGCCGGUCGAUCAUUUUCUGAGUUGGGGCUUUGCGCGGAGAGAGAUGGGAGGAGGGCAUGGAGAGGGCGUGACUUACAAGGGAUUGACUUUUCAUCAGCCAAAGCGAUGGCAUACAGUCACAGGAAAGGGCUUGUGUGCCGUCAUGUGGUUUUGGGUACUAUACAGGGCUAAGCAAGAUGGUCCUGUAGU
rnacentral:misc_RNA from 1 species